AUAAAAACACUAAAUGAGGAGUAGUAAGUCUAAUCUUUGAGAGAGAAAUCGGUCGCUGUGAGAUUUCAGAUGAAGCUUGUGAAGGUUGCAUUGUGGUCAGUUAAAUAAAAUUAAGUGUCUGCUUUAUAAAAAAGCAGGAAUUUAGGUGGUACCGCGCGUGAGCGUCCUAUUU
rnacentral:ncRNA from 1 species